AGUGAACGCUGGCGGUAGGCCUAACACAUGCAAGUCGAACGGCAGCACAGUAAGAGCUUGCUCUUACGGGUGGCGAGUGGCGGACGGGUGAGGAAUACAUCGGAAUCUACUUUUUCGUGGGGGAUAACGUAGGGAAACUUACGCUAAUACCGCAUACGACCUACGGGUGAAAGCAGGGGAUCUUCGGACCUUGCGCGAUUGAAUGAGCCGAUGUCGGAUUAGCUAGUUGGCGGGGUAAAGGCCCACCAAGGCGACGAUCCGUAGCUGGUCUGAGAGGAUGAUCAGCCACACUGGAACUGGGACACGAUCCAGACUCCUACGGGAGGCAGCAGUGGGGAAUAUUGGACAAUGGGCGCAAGCCUGAUCCAGCCAUACCGCGUGGGUGAAGAAGGCCUUCGGGUUGUAAAGCCCUUUUGUUGGGAAAGAAAAGCAGCAGGUUAAUACCCCGCUGUUCUGACGGUACCCAAAGAAUAAGCACCGGCUAACUUCGUG
rnacentral:rRNA from 1 species